CCUACGGGCGGCAGCAGUGGGGGAUAUUGCACAAUGGGGGAAACCCUGAUGCAGCGACGCCGCGUGAGGGAAGAAGUAAUUCGGAAUGUAAAGCUCUGUCAGCGGGGAAGAAAAUGACGGUACCUGAGAAAGAAGCCCCGGCUAACUACGUGCCAGCAGCCGCGGUAAUACGUAGGGGGCAAGCGUUGUCAGGAUAUACCGGGUGUAAAGGGAGCGUAGACGGGAGGGAAAGUCUGAAGGGAAAGUCGGGGGCCCAACCGGCGGACUGCUUUGGAAACUGUAGGGCUUGAGUGAAGGAGAGGUACGUGGAAUUCCUAGUGUAGCGGUGAAAUGCGUAGAUAUUAGGAGGAACACCAGUGGCGAAGGCGGCUUACUGGACUGUAACUGACGUUGAGGCUCGAAAGCGUGGGGAGCAAACAGGAUUAGAUACCCUGGUAGUC
rnacentral:rRNA from 1 species